UCUGUUCCCCCCUAAACCUCUGUGGUAAGAGCUUGGAGAAUACACAUGUAUGUGGAGGCCAGAGUCAACCUAUCCUGGGGUCAUCUGAAGGUGGCUUCUUUGGUCAUCCUCCAGCGUGUGUGUGUGUGUUUGGACAGGAUAUGUCUCUUUUACCUGGAACUUUCCAAUUCAGCUAGGUUGGCUGGCCAGGGAGCCCUAGGAGUUCACUGGGUUCUGCUCUCCCAGCACUGGGAUUUCAAGAGUGUGUCAGCACAUCCAGCAUUUUUAUGUGAGUUACUGGGAAGGAACCCAGGUUCUCACACUUGCAGGGUAAAUACUUUAUUGAAUGAACCACCUCUAAAUCUAGCGUCUCCUCCUUAUAAGGUGCUAUCUCGGGAAUGUUACCACACCACAGAAUGCUAAUGGAUCUGACAUACUGAUUCAGAGCAAGCAGUAGGUCAUAACUUGAUUGAAAGGUUCCCCUCCCUGCCUUUCAACAAAAGAAAAUAAAUUUUCUGAAGACUUAAUUUCUGCCGCUACCACUGUGCUAAGAGAGCAUGACGGUACUGUAUCACUUAUACCACAUUCCAAAUUAGCUAAUCAGGCCUUUUUGCAGAUGAAGGCACCAAGGCUUAGAGACACCGAAAAGGCUGGUCACUGACGGCAAAGCAGAAAUUCAAACCCAAAGCCUCUGUCUCCACACUGAACCGUAACCACCUGCAACUGUGACAGAAUUCACCCCCUUUUGUACAGCUUCACUGCCCUCACUAGCCAAGCCGCGUCUGCCCAGACCGUUUCAACGGCUCCUAGCAGGUCCCCAAGGUUCUACCUGAGCGACACUGUCAAGCGAGGGUGGAAACAGGCUGUCCCCUCAUUACCGCAAGGUUUCCUGCUGACCCUGAGGUAAACGAGAAAGCCUUUAGACCUGAAUUAGGAAGUCCGUAGCAGCCAGGAGGAACCACAGCCCAGGGCUGUAAAUUUGGUCAAGACCACGUGGGUGGGACGCCCACAGAUCCAGGGUAAACCUAGUGGUACCAUUUUGCUCAAUGGAUGCGGCAUUCCACUACUCUCUGAAUUCCUCUCUCCACCCUUCGAUUAGUGCCGCCCUCAGACCUCAGCAGGGAAGCUCUUUGUGCAGGGGUUGGUGGCUAAUGUCUAAAUUCAUAACUGUCACAGUGCAGAGGGCAUCAGUGGCGUGCUCGGUCACAGGAGGAACCUCCCACAAGUCUCAGGAACCAUCACGGAAGAAGGGGCAGAGAGCCAGAGACGACCAGACACGACAGGACGCUGCGCUCCUGCACCCACAGAAGUUGUGGCUGCCUGCACGAGAUCAAGGACAGGCCAGCCAACAUUCUAACAUUGGGAAAGGGGCUGGGAAGGGAAGGUCAGUGCUCUCCAAGUGUGCGUCUCCUGGUAGGCUGACGCUCCCGUGGCUGGCCCCACACCCCAGGGAUACAUGGACAGCACCAGAUGAAUAGACGGGUUACUGAAUUUUAAGAAGUAUGAAAUCUGAGGGGAUGCAUCUGGGAGGGGAGAGGAGGAGGAGUUGAGGAUAGAUCUGAUCAAAAUAUAUUGCAUAACAUUCUCAAAGAAUUAAUUAAAUUAUGUAAAAAGACACAAAGUUGGGGAUGGUAGGAAGGUUAUAGUGGAUCUGGGAAGAGUGGGUGGGAUCAAAGUGUGUUGUAUAAAAUUCACACAGAAUUAAUAAGAAUAUUUUAUUGUACUUUUUAGAUUUAUGUAUACAGUGUUCUGUCUGCAUGUACGCCUGCAGGCCAGAAGGGGGCACCAGAUCUCAUUAUAGAUGGUUGUGAGCCACAAUGUUUGGAAAUGAACUCAGGACCUCUAGGAAGAGCAGCCCACCGGUGUUCUUAACCUCUGAGCCAUCUCUCCAGCCCAACAAAAGUACUUUAAAAGAGAAGUCCUUGGCAGAGCCAGGAAGUGCACUCAAGCACCACUGCUCCUGCCUGCUCACUUUGCCUCUGGGUAAACUCCACCUUGUCUUCUCCCCUUUCCCGCUUUGCCUGGCAAGGGAAACCUCCUCUUGGGUCUUAUUCUCCAUGAGCAUGCUCUGCCUUGCUCCAAUCCCAAUCCCAGCAUACUUCCUUUCCUUGCCUUCACUUUUCGCUCUGGGGCCCUUUCCCCGUCUACAGCACAGAUUCCUCAUGCGUUUAAGAUUAACUAGCGUGAGGUUUUGAUGGCAGAGCCCCAUGUCAGAAUCUUUGGGGAGGCAAGGGAGCAGCCCGUAGAGGUCAAAGUGUAUCUGUUGGGCAAACACCUGAGUGAAAGAACAUCACCCCAAUCCGAAGAAAUUAGGUAAGACAUCCCCAGCCAAGGCACACUGGACCAGGAGAUACUAGGAGACGAGGCUUCCUCAAGACAUUGGCACAGGGACUGGCACCACAGUGGAAGCCUGUUGACCCAUUCCUGCUGGGUAAACAAAUGAUGCUUUUGUUGUUGUUUUCAUGCCUGGCCGCGUCAUUUUUAUCUUCAAACUUGUUUCAAAGCCUGGACAUCUUUUUCCACUGACUUACUUCCUCUCUCCAUUUCUCCCAGCCAUGACACUGCGCUGGCUGGAUGCCCAUCAAGUCCAGAGUGAGGGCAGAGCCCCGAGUCCUGCUAACCUCCACCUGCGGAACCAGCCGGUCUUGGCCCUAAGUAAAUCGGCACCGGCCAUGUCAAAGCCUGCUCCAUUUUUAGCAGUAAUCUCUUCCAUAGGGUGUUUCCUACUCUCACCCUAGGAGAAGGUGUUCAAAGAAGACAGCAGCCCCAGCGAAUAGCCAAAUGAAGAAGAGACCAACAGAAAGGACAGAAGCCAUCGUAAUGAGAGUCACCAGCAAUCACUGUGGGUGCUGGGAGUAGCAGCCAAAGAGGAUAGCUCAAGUUCAUGACUCCAAAGCAAAUGUCAACAAACAAAGCCGCUGAGGCAAUCCAGAGGCCUGUGGAGCGACUGCGCACGGUUCACUUGCAUUCGGCUGGGAGAAGGUUCACUAGUGAAGAGAACGCUAGCACCUUGGCAUCUCGACUGCAGAGCUCACCUCCCACUGCUGAUUGAUGCUGCAGUCAGAUGUGAGGGCAGCCAUGCUCUGCUCCUCAGGAGCUCCGAGGGACCCAGGCUUCCUGAUGCACCGGAACUUGAGCAUGGAAUUUCCAAGGUCAUCUAUCCUAGAUGUUGCUACCCACCUAGGCAAAUGGGGAGAGGAGAUGGCAGAGGAUCCUCAGGACUGGCCCACCUUUCACGGGCCCUAUCCAUCUUUAAGAGGGCCAGAGGGCUGGGAGGAAAGAGACAUGGGCACAGGUGUGACAAAGAACUCUGUGCUCUCCACCACAGAGUCAAGAGGUCCCGGAGCAGACAGCUCAACCCCUGUGUUACAUGAAGCAUGUUUGUCACAAGGUGCCAGGCAGCCCAGACUUCUUCCCGGCCCAUGAGGAGUAAACACCAGCUACAUCCAAUACUAAGACUUUCCUCUGCUCCUGACCCAGCUACAUCCAGCCAAGAUGAGCUCCUUUAGGAAGCAAGUCUCACCAUCCCAACAGCUAACCCUUGGCUACUUUACAUCCAGAAAUAGAAGCUGUGGCCAGUGUGUCGGGAGCAAGGAAGAGAGCAUUGACUGAAGACCCGCUCUGCAGAUAUCUGGGCCAUCAUUCUAUUUAAAGCAUUAAGAGAAGAGGUUUCAUGCCCAUUUUCCAGAUGAGAAGGUGCCUUCCCUGAGCGGAUGACUGCCAGCAUCAUAGAAAUGGACCCAAGUCUAGGUGCUUUCCCUGACACACUGCGACCAUGGAGUCCCUGUGACAGGGCCUGAAUGGGAAGUCCCUGAUGAAGCCCUCCAGAGGCAGCUCCUGAUGCUCUUAUGGCAACUCUGCAGAGUCAGAGAGCUUUGUCCAUCACAAAAUAUCACAACGCCUCUGACCCUUUCACGGCCUCUGAAAAUGGCAGGGAUGGAAGGAUGACCUUAGCUUUCAAGCCAGCUGCCUCUCAUACACAACUUUUGUGAUUUCCAGAUCCAGGAGCCAGGCAGAAUGGCCAUGUGUCCUGCUAAGUGGUGAUCCAUCACCAGGCUGGUUUUAGGCAUUUGCAUCACCUAAAUGGAAGUAAGUCAAAUAAAAGCUGAGGUGUUGGUGCAAGCGAUGGAUAAAGCUUCCUUUCACAUGCCUGGUCUGUCAUCCAGCCCAUAAACACUCCAAAAGAGAUUCAAACCUGUGUUUCCAAUGCACACUGAAGAAACAAUUCCCUUCAGGAACAACCCCCAGCCCCCAAACACAACUUGAAAAACAUCAUUCAGAUAAAGCCGGGAAAUCACGCACCGUGCCAAGAACGACUGCCUGUCUGGCCGGGAGCGCCAAUGACUACCUCCAAACAGGGAAGGAGGGACUGACGAUGUCUGUCUGCGCCAGGUCCUGUGAUUUAAGAAAGGAAAUACUUCGAGGCUUCGGAGACCUUUGCAGGGAUCCUGGAAGCCGCCUGUGAGUUUGAACCUAUUCACACCCCCUGGAAUCCAGGCUCCUUUCUCUCUAAACCACCAGGAAGUCGAGUCCAUAGACUGAGACUUUAGAAAGACUGUGAAGCAGACGAUGAAUCAGAACAAAUUGAAACUUGGUUCCGGUAGGUAGCAAUAUAUCGUGGUGUUGUCACGGGCUCCAGGGAGAAAGGCUAGACUUCUACAGUGAAAUAGUGGCGGGGCACUGACAUGCUUUAACCCAGGAGAAGGUAGCCCGGAGCGGAUGCAGCUGAACAGUGUCUCCUCUCCUUCAGCUCCAAGAGGAGUCUGCAGGGAGCCGGAGGCCAGACACCCCUGAUGAGCCACACUGGCUCUGCCCUCCAGAGCUCAAAGCCUCCAAGGCUUGGAAGGGCAGCGUUUCAAGUGAGCUAGCAACAGCUAUAGAGUUCAGAUCCGUGCACCCUUUUUACCAAGCACCUCUGCUUUCUUUACGCACCCGUGUGUGGAAGCCAGAAGACAGCCUUGGGCGUCUUUCCUCGGGUGACAUCUACCGUUCUUCUUCUUUUCAUUUUUUUAAUAUUUUAUUUUUAUUAUUAGUUACAUUUUAUUAACUCUGUAUCCCAGCCGUAGCCCCCUCCCUCAUUCCCUCCCAAACCCUCUCUCCCUCAUCUCCCUCUGCCCCUUUCCAAGUCCACUAAUAGAGGAGGAUCCCCUCCCCUUCCAUCUGACCCUGUUUUGUCAGAUACCUUCAGGACUGGCUGCAAAGCCCUCCUCUGUGGCCUAGCAGGGCUGCUCCUCCCUUGGGGGGUGGGGAGGUCAAAGAGCCUGCCACUGAGUACCUUUCUUCUUUAAGAGCCUAAAAAACAUUGUGUGUCUAUUCAAGGCUUUGUGCUCACGAGUGCAGUACCCACGGAUGCCAGGAGGAGGAGCUAGAGCCCUGGCGCUGGAGGUGUGGGCGUUUGUGGCAGUUGUGAGCCCCCUGACUGGGAACUGCAGUGUGUGCGGAGCUGCCCGCCCGCCUCUACCUCUCUUUUCAGGGACGCGGGCUCUGACUGCCGCCUUAGUAAGCCAGGCCGGCCAGGGAGCACGGCGCAGCUCUCUGUCUCUGCCUCCCAGCUCUGGGAUCACAAAGCUGUACUGUGACUCCGUGCUGUACAGGUGCUGGCAAUUCAAAUCAGGUCCUCCUGUUGGCGAGACACUCAUCAGCUGCGCUAUCUCCCCGGCCAAGCACCACGGUUUUCUCUGCACACGCGAGUGCAGAAAAAUCUCUCAACUUCUCAAAAGCCUCAGGAGGUCCUGCAUUUGGUGUAAUUUCUGGUGAGUCUGUGUCCGGUGAGCAGUGAGAAUGUUCUGUCCGCGGACUGUGAGAAAAGCAUCUGCUGCGCACACAA